UGGUUAACAGAGGGAAGGCAAGACCGCGAGGUGGAGCAAAUCCCUAAAAGCCAUCCCAGUUCGGAUUGCAGGCUGCAACCCGCCUGUAUGAAGUUGGAAUCGCUAGUAAUCGCGGAUCAGCAUGCCGCGGUGAAUACGUUCCCGGGCCUUGUACACACCGCCCGUCACACCAUGAGAGUCGGGAACACCCGAAGUCCGUAGCCUAACCGCAAGGGGGGCGCGGCCGAAGGUGGGUUCGAUAAUUGGGGUGAAGUCGUAACAAGGUAAC
rnacentral:rRNA from 1 species